rfam:Caulobacter crescentus CB15, complete genome.
GUCUGUUCACCGGGGGGCCGCUCGCGCGGCUGAGAUUGGGCUCACGCCCUGACCCGUAGAACCUGAUCCGGGUCAUGCCGGCGAAGGGAGGGAACGCGGACGACAG